rnacentral:rRNA from 1 species
AUAAUAUAAUUAUAUUAAAAUUUUAAUUAAUAAAUUAAUUUAUUAAUUUUUGAAUUUUAAUUAAUAAAAUAAAAAUAUUUUUUAAAUAAAAUUUUAUUAAAUAGUUAAUAAAAAAAAUUUAUUUUAAAUAUAAAUUUUAUAUUAUAUUAUAGAAUAUAAUAAUAAUUUAAGUUUAAGUAAUGUAAUUAAAAUAAUUCUAAUUUAUUAUAUUUUAAGUAAUGUAAAUGAAUUAUAUUAAUAUAUAAAAAAGUAAAUUUUAUUUAUUGUACCUUUUGUAUCAGGAUUUAUUAAAUAAGAAUUUUUAGAUUAAUAAAAUUUCUCGAUUUAAAAAGAGUUAAAUAAAUAAUGAAAGUUAAUGUAGAAUAAUUAUUUUAAAUAUUUAUUUAGGGAAGAAAUUUUAAUCAAUUUUUUUGGUAUCUAGUUUUUUUUGAUAUAAAUUUAAUUUAAAUAUAAAUUAUUACAAUUAAAAUUAUAUUUAAUUAUUAAAAAGUUAAAUAUAAAAAUUUAUAUUAAAAAUUUAUGGGAUAAUCUAUAAAUUAAUUUAAAAAUUAAAUUAAUAAAUUUUUUAUUUUAAAAAUAUUUUUAAAAUUUAAAAUUUUUUGAAAAAAUUUAAUAAUUUAUAUAUUAAUCCUUAUUUAUUUUUAAUAAUAAAUAAAAUAAAUAUAAGUAAGGUAUUAAUUAAUUUAAGUAAAUAAUUUAAAUAUUAUAUUUUAAUAAAUUAAAAAAAUAUUUAUAAAAAUAAAAAUUAUGAAUUAAUUAUGAUCAAAUUAGUAUAAAAUUUAUUAAAUAUAAGAAAUUAAACAAAAAAUUUAAUUUUAUUAAAGGAAUUAGGCAAAAAUUUUAUUAAAUUAUUAUUUAGUAAAGUUAAGUUCACCUGUUUAAUAAAAACAUGGUUUUAUGAUUAUAUUUUAAGAUUUGUUCUGCUCAAUGAUAAUAUAUUAAUUAUUAAAUAGCCGCAGUAUUUUGACUGUGCAAAGGUAGCAUAAUCAAUUGUCUUUUAAUUAAAGACUGGAAUGAAGGAAUGAAUGAAAUUUAAACUGUCUAUAAUAAAAAAUUAAAAUUUAAAUUUUAAGUUAAAAUGCUUAAAUGAAAUUAUGGGACGAGAAGACCCUAUAGAAUUUUAUAUAAAUUUUUAAAUAAUUAUAUGAGUAAAAAGAUUAAGUUUAAAAUUAUAUUUUAUUGGGAGGAUAAUUAAAUUAAUUUAACUUUAUUAAUUAAAAUAAAUUAUAUAUAUAUAUAUAUAUAUAUAUAUAUUAAAAAAUUAAUUUAUGAAAAAAUGAAUAAAUUUUUUAUUAAAUUUAUAUUAGAAUUAAUUACCUUAGGGAUAACAGCGUUAUAUUUUUUAAAAGAUCAUAUUAAGAAAAAUGUUUGCGACCUCGAUGUUGAAUUAAAAUAAAAAUUAAAUGAAGAAGUUUAAUAUUUUAGUCUGUUCGACUAUUAAAAUUUUACAUGAUUUGAGUUAAGAUCGGUGUAAGCCAGAUCGGUUUCUAUCUAUAAUUAUAUGAAAAUAAUUUUGUACGAAAGGACUAAUUAUUUAAAAUAAUUUUUUUUAUUAAAAUUAAUGAAUAAAAUUAAAUUAAAAAUUUAAAAAUUAUUUAUUUAUUAAAAUAUAAGUUUAUUUUAAAAAAAAAAAUUAAAUAAUUAUUAUAAAAAUUAUAAUAAAUAAAAUAAAUAAU